rnacentral:tRNA from 1 species
CAGGAGUGCAAAGUAGGACCAUGUAAUAUUGUUAUGUGGUCAAUUAUGUUGAUUUUAUUUCCAGGACAUUAGUACUUCUAUCAGCUAAAUAACUCCCUUUCUAGUCUUUAUCUCAAAAGCUUAAAAAAAACAGUCAAAACCCCUUUAAGGAAAUUUUCAACAUCCACUGCCUGGAUAGGAGUUUAAUUCCUUCUUGACCCUAGAAAACUAGGGUCACACUGAUGAGAUUACCCUAACCUGCUACCCACUCAUUUAACUCCAAUCUUGUUGCUGCAACUCCCUGUUGCCUGCAGCCUCUUGCCUCCCGCAUUAUACUAUAUGCCCUGGGCACACUGGGAACAGAAGAAUACCCUCGAGGCACCAGGGCUCCCAAACCAAAAUUUAUCUUACCUUAUUUCAUUUUAUUUUCUGUCUUUUUAGGGCCACACCCAUGGCAUAUGGAAGUUGCCAAGCUAGGGGAUCGAAUCAGAGCUAAAGCUGACUACCUAUGCCACAGCCAUAGAAACGCCAGAUCAGAGCCACAUCUACAACCUACAGUGCAGCUUCAGGAAACACUGUAUCCUUAACCCACUGAUAGAGGCCAGGGAUCGAACCCACAUCCUCAUGGAUACUAGUUGGGUUCUUAACCAGCUAAGCCACAACAGGAAGUCCCCCAAACCAAAAUUUUAGUGAAAACAAUGCUGCAGCAUACAGUCCAAACGUCUUUCUUUGAAAAGACACUUUUGAGAGUCAGGAUCUUGGGCCAGAUUUACCACAACUAAAUAAAGAGGAAGGGGAGAAAAAGCUAUAUAUACAUUUUCAAAGUAUACAUAAUUCAAAGAAACAUUAUAUACAUAUCAUCUGUAUAAUCUCUUUAGACUCCAACUUUCUGGUGCCAGUAUAAAUGACAGACUUGGUUUACAUUUCCCAACUUAUAAAAUAGGAGGGAUAAAAUAUUUCUCUAAGUGCUUUAAAUCAUAGCUAAUGAUAAGUAAUCACAAGUAAUCUCUCCAGAUGAAAAACAUCAUUUAAGAACAUAAUUUUUUAUGACUUAAAUUUUUCAUCACUCUAAAGAGGGUGCAAACAUAUAUUUUAUAUUAUUGGGGGCAAAUCGUUUUCCUUAAUUCUCACUGUUUGAGAUGAACUUUGUCUCAAGCUAGUUUGAGAAAAGUUCAGCUAUGACUGGUAGACUUGACUCUUAUUACCUUUGUGUCACUUAGGAAAUGGUAGCAAUUAAAGCGUAAAAGUACUUGCCCUGGGUCAAAAAGCAUUCUUGAAACUUUUGUCACUAAUCAGAUAACAAAAUGAAGCUAAGCCAUACUUUGAAGAGGCAAUAGUAUAAUAUCGUGGUUAAGAACACAGGCUCUGGGGAGUGUCUGUUGUGGCUCAGUAGGUUAAGAACCUGGCAUAAUGUCCCUGAGGAUGUGGGUUAGAUCCCAGGCUUUGCUCAGUGAAUUAAGAAUCCAGCGUUGCCGGAUCCAGCGUUGUGGUGUAGAUUGCAGAUGCAGCUCAGAUCCAGCAAUGCUGUGGCUGUGGUCUAGGGCAGCAGCUGCAGCUCCUAUUCGACCCCUAGCCUGGGAACUUCCAUAUGCUGCAGGUGCAGCCUUUAUGGAAUACAAACAAACGAACAGACAAAACACAGGGUUUGGAGUCAGACAGACAGCUACCAGAAGACAUCGCAUUAUUUAUUCCAAAAUAUUUGAUCCUACAAGUCUUCUCUGUGGACUCUGCCCACGAGGAUAUGCAAAAUUCCUAUCACCGUGUUACUUCCUUGGUCAAUGGAGUGUGAGCAGAAGUAAUCCAUUUCAUGUCAACCACAUGGGCUCUUUUUCCUCUGCUGUGAGACCAACGAUGUCCCAGACAAAGGCUACUCCUUCAUCACGGAUCCCUGAGUGAAGGGGGAGUGGAGCAGGGCCACUGUCUCCUUGUAACUAACUGUAACAUAAGUGAGAAAUAAAUUUAAUGAAUUUUGUUAGUGGACUCCACUGAGAUUUGGGGAUAUUCUUACCAUUAUACUAGCCUAUUCAGAAUGAUAUAGAAAAUUGUCCUAGAAGUAGAAUUCUCUGCUACUUAAAAAAUGCCUGAAAUAUGUGCCUUGUUUUGGGGCUGGGCAGAGAGUGGCAAAAAUAAAACAAAACAAAAAACACUGCCAAUGCAAGUAGGAAGCCAUUGAAUGCAGUUGUGAAAAAAUCAGCAGAACUGUUGUCCACAGUUCCUUGGAAGGCAGAUAAAAUUUUUAAUGAACUUGUGACUUUAGGUGAUGAAGUGGGAAAAUAAAAUGUUUGUAGCAUAAAUUGGUUACUAUUGGUUGUGUUCUUUGUUGGAAUCUGAAUCAGGCAGCUGGUCUCCAGGAAAUUCUUUCAAAUGCAUAACCGCUCAGUGUAAAGAGUCUUCCAGACUCUCCCACAGAAACCCAAUAGGCUGUAAUUAUUAGUCAUUAAAGAGGGGGCAUAUCUAGACGUUCAUUCAGGUCUUCUGUUAAAAUAAAACGUUGGGGCUGAUUCCAGUAAAGUAUGAAACAGGUAUGUGUAACCCAGAGCAUAGACUUGGGGACAGUGUGAUGGUGCCCAAACCAUGUGCUGCUUCUCUGCAGGCUCUUCCUGUGGAGGGGGAUGUGUCUCCAUCCCACUGCUGUCAGAUUUGCUCGGGUGGCUUGCUUCAGGCUGUGGGAGGAAAGCACAUGACCUUCUGAGCAGAACUACACAGCACCAGCGACUGAGGCCUUGGCAGGUGGGAUUCUGGAAAGAGUAGGGCAGGGAACAGAUCCCCAACACCCCUACCGCCAACACAAGUAAGUGGACCUUUGUAUUUAAAACCCAUGGAGGCGUUAAUUCAUUCAUUCAUUCAUUAACAGCUGCACCUGCAGCAUAUGGAAUUUGUCGAGCUCGGGGUCAAAUCAGAGCUGCAACUGCAGGCCUACACCACAGUCACAGCAGCAGCAGAGCCGAGCCACAUCUGUUUCCUACAUGCAGCUUGUGACAAGGCCGGAUCUUUAACCCACUGAGCGAGGCCAGGGAUUGAACCCACAUCCUCUCAGAGACAACAUGGGGUCCUUCACACACAAUGAGAAGGCCUAUUGUUUGUUUUCAUUUUUUCUUUGUAACCACAGCAUCGUCUGAGGAUAGAGAGUUACUUCAUAGCACUGAUAACAGCUUCCUCUGUAAGGAAGGGAUGAUGAUACCCACCAUGAGGGUUUCGUGAUGAUGGAAAAGUUAAUAUUUGAACUACCCAACUCAGAGGAACCUGCUAAUUCGUAUUUGUUGUGAUCUGAGGAUGAAGAUGAUGAUGAUGUUGUCUUGUGGUUGGAUUUUCAAGACCAUGAAAUGCAGUGGCAUGAGAAGUAUGCGAUAAGAAGCAUGAAUCUUCAGGAAAAACCCCAAGGGAACUUUCUGUUUAAUGAAAUAAUUACCCAUAAAAGCCUCCAGAUAAUAAACAUUUUAUCAUUAUUAAAUCUUGAUGGAAUCCAAAGACCUAUGCUGGAGCCCAAUAUUAUCACUUAAAAUCCAGGUGACCCAUCUUGGACAAGCAACUUGCCCUUGAGCUUCUAUCUUUCUGUUAACAGAGCAGGAUAAAAAUCUGCUCCACUCACUCAAGGGAUCAUCAUCAAAAUGCACGAGUUUUCUCUGAAAGCCCUGUAUGAACUGUCAGUACUAGAACAAUGUCAAAGAUGACGAAUAAUUCAUAGCACACUAUCUACUUAGUUUUCCUUAUUUAUGUUCCACCUUAAAAACACCCCAGGCGUUCCCAUCGUGGCGCAGCAGAAACAAAUCCUACUAAGAACCAUGAGAUUGUGGGUCCGAUCCCUGGCCUUGCUCAGUGGAUUGAGGAUCUGGCGUUGCCAUGAGCUGUGGUGUAGGUCACAGACGAAGCUCAGAUCUGGCAUUGCUGUGGCUGUGGUGUAGGCCGGCCGCAACAGCUCCAAUGAGACCCCUAGCCUGGAAACCUCCAUAUGCGUGGGUGAGGCCUGAAAAAGUCAACAGCAACAACAACAACCUCCCCACCCCACCCAAAUAAUCCCUCCUCUCCAUUUCCUGCUUUUCUAAGGGAGAAGAGUGUAUUUUGUUGACAUGGCAGUUUAUGCAAAGAAAAAUCCCAUUUUACUUGCGUCAACUGAAAAUGUCAUUCAAGGUCCCCCUUCAUCAGAACAACCUGAACAACAUCCUCUGCCAGAUCAUCCCCAGCAAACUGGAAAAGUUAUGUUCCCCCAGUGAAGAGUUGAGGCAGUUUCCUGUGGGCACCUUACAUGAUCCAGUCCCAGAGUGGAUAUCUGGCUUAUUUUGUAAGAAAAUGGUAGCCUUUGAAUGAUGUAGGCUAGUAACCACCUCUGAUGCUUUCCUGUGAGAUUCUAGAGGUACACGUGGAACAGGAAGUGGUAUCACAGCCUCAGGGAAUAUUCUUUUCAAAUCGUGCACCAAUUGUGUCAAUGUUUAUCUGACUUUUAAUGAGAUGCAAUUUCUUUAUUAGACUUAAUACCACUCUAUACAUUUCAAGAGGAUUUUUUGAGGCCACACCCAUUGCAUGCAGAAGUUCCUGGAUCAGGGAUCAAACCUGAGAGCCACAGCAGUGACAACGCUGAAUCCUUAACCACUAGGACACCAGGAAACUCCUCAAGAGGUUUUUUUAAAUUAUUAAAUUAUUAUUAAAUUUAAAUUAUUAUUAUUUCUUUAAGAAAAAUAGAUUUUUGAGAAAUAAUCUUUGGGCGUUCCUGCUGUGGUUCAGUGGGUUAAGGACCUGAUGCUGUCUCUGUGAGGAUGUGGGUUCUAUCAGUGGGUUAAAGAUCCAGCAUUGUUGAAAGCUGCGGCAUAGGUCAAAUUUGCGGCUCUGAUCUGGUGUAGGCUUCAGCUGCAGCUCUGGUUCAACCCCUAGCCCAGAAACUUCCCUAUGCCACAG